rnacentral:rRNA from 1 species
UACAGAGGUCUCAAGCGUUGCUCGGAAUCACUGGGCGUAAAGCGCACGUAGGCGGCUUCUUAAGUCAGGGGUGAAAUCCUGGAGCUCAACUCCAGAACUGCCUUUGAUACUGAGGAGCUUGAGUCCGGGAGAGGUGAGUGGAACUGCGAGUGUAGAGGUGAAAUUCGUAGAUAUUCGCAAGAACACCAGUGGCGAAGGCGGCUCACUGGCCCGGUACUGACGCUGAGAUGCGAAAGCGUGGGUAGCAAACAGG